rnacentral:rRNA from 1 species
UACGGGGGGAGCAAGCGUUGUUCGGAUUUACUGGGCGUAAAGAGCGCGCAGGCGGUCGUUCAAGUCGCGUGUGAAAGCCCCCGGCUCAACUGGGGAGGGUCACGCGAUACUGAUCGACUCGAAGGCAGGAGAGGGUAGUGGAAUUCCCGGUGUAGUGGUGAAAUGCGUAGAUAUCUGGAGGAACACCGGUGGCGAAGGCGGCAUCCUGGACCAAUAUUGACGCUGAGGAGCGAAAGCUAGGGGAGCAAACGGG